UCUCUACAUUACACUCGGCUGAGGCUCAGCAGACCUUUCUUAUUAUGUACAGAGCUCUGCAGGAAGUUAAGGUGGCAGAUUUCAGCUGCAGUGGAUGGGACAAUUCAGUUUCCAAGUCCCUCGUCUUUCUCCUGGAACCAGAAGGCUCUAAGAAGACUGUCCAGACUUCUUGGAGGUUUCUGGAAGCCUUGUGACUGUCCUGACUGGUGAACAGUGAAGGGAAGUCACGUGUGUCACUUCUGAUGAGAGUCUUAGGAGCCAUGAUCGUUCUCCACAACUUCUCUUUCACUGAUGCUGCAGCUACUGUGGCCAUGAGAUGACUUAGCAGAGCUGCAAGAUAGAAGUGGCCUCUACCUUGUGCUACCAGGUGAAUGUUUGUGCUGCAUGUUGAAAUCCUAACCCCCAAGGUAAGAGUAUUAGGUGGUGGAAAUUUUGGAAGUGAUUAGUUCAUGAGAGUGGAGUCCUCAUGAAUGAGAUUAGUGCCCUUAUAAAAGAGGCCCCAGAGAGAUUCCUCACCCCUUCCACUAUGAGGACACAGUGAGAAGGUGCCAUCCAUAUCUGAACCAAAAAACGGAUCCAUGCCAGACACUGAAUGUGCUGGCACCUAAUCUUGGCCUUAGCCUCCAGAGCUGUGAGAAAUAAAUCUCUAUUGUUUAUAUUCUACCAAGUUUAUGUUAUUUUUAUAGUAGCCCAAAUGGAGUAAAACACUUUGAAUCAUAAAUGCCUAUUGAGCAUAUCCACCAAAUGUCACUGGACUUGGAGAGAAAUCAAACUUUGCUUUGUUAAGCCACUG
rnacentral:lncRNA from 10 species